AAAAGGCGCCUGAAUUUUUUAAACAGUGAGAAAUAAACUUAUUCCAAUUUAAGAAAACCCUAAAUCAAGGAAUACUUCAUUUCUUCUUCCUUCGCCAACUACUGUCGCCAAUACUCGGAAUUCGCCGGCCAAUAUUCCUCGCCGGUCUACCGUCUUCGCAAGCCAUUUAUCCCGCCGGCAUACUCUGAUCCAUUACCAGCCUACCACCACCACAUUAUCGCCGAUAUUUUCAUAGCAUCUGCGCUGACACUAUUCCCUCCAGAGUAUGUUAAGGAGUUCCAGAAGUGUUUUGAUCAAGCCCCUACAAUCCCUUUUGAAGGUAUCAACGCAAUCCUGAAUCAAGAAUUAAAGAGACCGAUUGAUAGUCUAUAUGAAUACAUUGAUCCAACUCCUCUUGCAUCAGCCUCAAUAGCACAGGUUGACAGCAUAAUACCUGGGUCACUUCCUUCAUCUAUAACAGGGCCCGUAAUUCUUGUGGUUCGCAGAGCUGAUGGAGAUGAAGAGUUAUGAAAGAUCUCUGAAUGUGUUUAGCACAUAGUAUUGAAGACCCUCAACUGUAUGUGUAACAUGAGGGAUAUUUGGCAGGUGAUGGCUGCAGGGACUAAUAUAGUUGGUGUGAUAUUCUGCAAGAGCUACCACACUUAUGCAUCUUGGUGUUCGAGCUCGACAAGAGAAGGUUACCUUGUGACCUGCGAAGAUGAUGAUUACCUUUGUGACUUGCGAAGAUGAUGAUUCGGCUUCUUAUAUUGAGAAACUUGAGAAAUAUUAUCCAGCCUGUUCAUGUCUUCUCUAGUCAUAGCAAAGUUGUCUCAUAUGUUAAAUUCUUGUCUACUAAUGAAUUAACUUGCUUCUGCAUUAACUGAUAGCACAUUGUGCUUGUGGCAUCAACUGUAAUCCGCUUCAAUUCUGUGUUAAAAACAUGGAAUUUGUGCACAUGAAUUGGAAGAAACGGGCCUAUGUGCUCUAUUAUUUUUUUGUAACUUAGUUGAAGUUUUGGAAUCUUCUACCAUUAUAUUGAUAUGCAUGUGAUUUUGUAGUGAA